UACGGGGGGGGCAAGCGUUGUUCGGAAUUACUGGGCGUAAAGGGCUCGUAGGCGGCCAACUAAGUCAGACGUGAAAUCCCUCGGCUUAACCGGGGAACUGCAUCUGAUACUGGAUGGCUUGAGUUCGGGAGAGGGAUGCGGAAUUCCAGGUGUAGCGGUGAAAUGCGUAGAUAUUGGGAGGAACACCAGUGGCGAAGGCGGCUCACUGGACCGGUUCUGACGCUGAGGCGCGAAAGCGUGGGGAGCAAACGGG
rnacentral:rRNA from 1 species